rnacentral:rRNA from 1 species
GAUGAACGCUGGCGGCGUGCUUAACACAUGCAAGUCGAACGAGAAGUGGAGACGGAAACCUUCGGGCGGAAGACUUUAUUUCGAGUGGCGGACGGGUGGGUAACGCGUGGGUAACCUGCCUCAUACAGGGGGAUAACAGUUGGAAACGACUGUUAAUACCGCAUAAGACCACAGCACCGCAUGGUGCGGGGGUAAAAACUCCGGUGGUAUGAGAUGGACCCGCGUUCGAUUAGCCAGUUGGCGGGGUAACGGCCCACCAAAGCGACGAUCGAUAGCCGAUCUGAGAGGAUGACCGGCCACAUUGGGACUGAGACACGGCCCAAACUCAUACGGGAGGCAGCAGUGGGGAAUAUUGCACAAUGGGGGAAACCCUGAUGCAGCGACGCCGCGUGAGUGAAGAAGUAUUUCGGUAUGUAAAGCUCUAUCAGCAGGGAAGAAAAUGACGGUACCUGAGUAAGAAGCCCCGGCUAACUACGUG